rfam:Talaromyces stipitatus ATCC 10500 scf_1105507295555 genomic scaffold, whole genome shotgun sequence.
GCGCUAAUGGUGUACCGGUAACAUGGUUCUCUUCCAAAGAAUCGCACUGGGUUCGACUCCCAGUUAGCGCA